rnacentral:tRNA from 1 species
GGAGGAGGCGCAUAAUGGCUGGUGCAAUAGUUUUGAAAACUAUGACCUUUACAGGUUAAGUGGGUUCGACUCCCACCUCCUCCG